AGAGUUUGAUCCUGGCUCAGGACGAACGCUGGCGGCACGCUUAACACAUGCAAGUCGAACGAGAGAAGAGGAGCUUGCUUUUCUGAUCUAGUGGCGGACGGGUGAGUAACACGUGAGCAAUCUGCCUUUCAGAGGGGGAUACCGAUUGGAAACGAUCGUUAAUACCGCAUAACAUAAUUGAACCGCAUGAUUUGAUUAUCAAAGAUUUAUCGCUGAAAGAUGAGCUCGCGUCUGAUUAGCUAGUUGGUAAGGUAACGGCUUACCAAGGCGACGAUCAGUAGCCGGACUGAGAGGUUGAUCGGCCACAUUGGGACUGAGACACGGCCCAGACUCCUACGGGAGGCAGCAGUGGGGAAUAUUGCACAAUGGAGGAAACUCUGAUGCAGCGAUGCCGCGUGAGGGAAGAAGGUUUUAGGAUUGUAAACCUCUGUCUUCAGGGACGAAAAAAGACGGUACCUGAGGAGGAAGCUCCGGCUAACUACGUGCCAGCAGCCGCGGUAAUACGUAGGGAGCGAGCGUUGUCCGGAAUUACUGGGUGUAAAGGGAGCGUAGGCGGGAUCGCAAGUCAGAUGUGAAAACUAUGGGCUUAACCCAUAAACUGCAUUUGAAACUGUGGUUCUUGAGUGAAGUAGAGGUAAGCGGAAUUCCUAGUGUAGCGGUGAAAUGCGUAGAUAUUAGGAGGAACAUCAGUGGCGAAGGCGGCUUACUGGGCUUUAACUGACGCUGAGGCUCGAAAGCGUGGGGAGCAAACAGGAUUAGAUACCCUGGUAGUCCACGCCGUAAACGAUGAUUACUAGGUGUGGGGGGACUGACCCCUUCCGUGCCGCAGCAAACGCAAUAAGUAAUCCACCUGGGGAGUACGACCGCAAGGUUGAAACUCAAAGGAAUUGACGGGGGCCCGCACAAGCAGUGGAGUAUGUGGAUUAAUUCGAAGCAACGCGAAGAACCUUACCAGGUCUUGACAUCGUAUGCAUAGCUCAGAGAUGAGUGAAAUCUCUUCGGAGACAUAUAGACAGGUGGUGCAUGGUUGUCGUCAGCUCGUGUCGUGAGAUGUUGGGUUAUGUCCCGCAACGAGCGCAACCCUUACUGUUAGUUGCUACGCAAGAGCACUCUAGCAGGACUGCCGUUGACAAAACGGAGGAAGGUGGGGAUGACGUCAAAUCAUCAUGCCCCUUAUGACCUGGGCCUCACACGUACUACAAUGGCUGUCAACAGAGGGAAGCAAAGCCGCGAGGUGGAGCGAACCCCUAAAAGCAGUCUUAGUUCGGAUUGUAGGCUGCAACCCGCCUACAUGAAGUCGGAAUUGCUAGUAAUCGCAGAUCAGCAUGCUGCGGUGAAUACGUUCCCGGGCCUUGUACACACCGCCCGUCACGCCAUGGGAGUCGGUAACACCCGAAGCCUGUAGUCUAACCGCAAGGAGGACGCAGUCGAAGGUGGGAUUGAUGACUGGGGUGAAGUCGUAACAAGGUA
rnacentral:rRNA from 1 species